rnacentral:rRNA from 1 species
CCAGACUCCUACGGGAGGCAGCAGUCGAGAAUCAUUCACAAUGGGGGAAACCCUGAUGGUGCGACGCCGCGUGGGUGAAGAAGCGCCUCGGCGCGUAAAGCCCUGUCAGCAGGGAAGAAAAUGACGGUACCUGAAGAAGAAGCCCCGGCUAACUACGUGCCAGCAGCCGCGGUAAUACGGAGGGUGCGAGCGUUAAUCGGAAUUACUGGGCGUAAAGCGCUCGUAGGCGGUAUGUCAAGUCAAGGGUGAAAUCCCCGCGCUCAACGUGGGAACUGCCUUUGAAACUGGCAAACUGGAGUGUGUGAGAGGAUAGUGGAAUUCCAGGUGUAGGAGUGAAAUCCGUAGAUAUCUGGAGGAACAUCAGUGGCGAAGGCGACUAUCUGGCACAUAACUGAUGCUGAGGAGCGAAAGCGUGGGUAGCAAACAGGAUUAGAUACCCGAGUACA